GAAGUCUUUGGGCCAGCGGUUUUAGG
rnacentral:sRNA from 1 species